rnacentral:rRNA from 1 species
GAUGAACGCUGGCGGCGUGCUUAACACAUGCAAGUCGAACGAGAAGUGAAGACGGAAACCUUCGGGUGGAAGGCUUUAUUUCGAGUGGCGGACGGGUGAGUAACGCGUGGGUAACCUGCCUCAUACAGGGGGAUAACAGUUGGAAACGACUGUUAAUACCGCAUAAGACCACAGCACCGCAUGGUGCGGGGGUAAAAACUCCGGUGGUAUGAGAUGGACCCGCGUUCGAUUAGCCAGCUGGCGGGGUAACGGCCCACCAAAGCGACGAUCGGUAGCGGAUGUGAGAGGAUGCCCGGUCACAUUGGGACUGAGACACGGCCCAAACGCCUACGGGAGGCAGCAGUGGGGAAUAUUGCACAAUGGGGGAAACGCUGAUGCAGCGACGCCGCGUGAGUGAAGAAGUAUUUCGGUAUGUAAAGCUCUAUCAGCAGGGAAGAAAAUGACGGUACCUGAGUAAGAAGCCCCGGCUAACUACGU